rnacentral:rRNA from 1 species
UACGUAGGUGGCAAGCGUUGUCCGGAUUUACUGGGCGUAAAGGGCGUGCAGGCGGUUUGUUAAGUGCAGAGUGAAAGCUCCCGGCUCAACUGGGAGAGGUCUUUGCAUACUGGCAAACUCGAGGGAGGCAGAGGAAAGUGGAAUUCCCGGUGUAGUGGUGAUAUGCGUAGAUAUCGGGAGGAACACCUGUGGCGAAGGCGGCUUUCUGGGCCUUACCUGACGCUGAGACGCGAAAGCGUGGGGAGCAAACAGG